rnacentral:RNase_P_RNA from 1 species
UGAGCAGAGCAGAUGGCUGCGCUUAGGGGAAACCCUGGUGAGGAAAGUCCGGGCUUCAUAGGGCAGGAUGCCGGAUAACGUCCGGCGGGAGCGAUCCCAGGACAAGUGCAACAGAAAGUAUACCGCCUGUUCAACAGGUAAGGGUGAAAUGGCAGUGUAAGAGACUACCGCUCCUGUGGUAACACAGGAGGCGAGGUAAACUCCAUCCGAAGCAAGACCAAGCAGAAGGCGUUUUAAGGGCUGCCCGUCUAGCCUUCAGGUAGGUCGCGAAGAGCCUGUCGGCAACGGCAGGACAAGAUAGAUGGCCAUCCAAGACAGAACCCGGCUUACAGCUCUGCUCAUAUU